rnacentral:rRNA from 1 species
UACGGAGGAUCCGAGCGUUAUCCGGAUUUAUUGGGUUUAAAGGGAGCGUAGGCGGGUUGUUAAGUCAGUUGUGAAAGUUUGCGGCUCAACCGUAAAAUUGCAGUUGAUACUGGCAUCCUUGAGUACAGUAGAGGUAGGCGGAAUUCGUGGUGUAGCGGUGAAAUGCUUAGAUAUCACGAAGAACUCCGAUUGCGAUGGCAGCCUGCUGGACUGUAACUGACGCUGAUGCUCGAAAGUGUGGGUAUCAAACAGG